CGGGGUGAGAAUUCGCUUGGAGAGGUAAGAUUCAAACCUUCCCCAGAGAAAUAACUUUGCUUCUUUUGUCUUUUUUGAUUAUAAUCUGCCAACUCCAAAUAAAAUUAAGACUUUAUGUGUGUGCAAAACUAUGGUUAGCUUCAUUUUCUGGGUCUUCCUCAAUUGAAGAUAAGGGGGGGAAAUAUGAAGUGUAUCUUCCAAUAAGAUUUUUUUUUACAUUUUCCUCCAAAAGUCAGAAGUAAAGCUCACAUAGAUCCUAUUUAAUGCUAAACUUAAAAAAAAAAGUUUUGAAAUAGAUCUAUACAAAUGCUUUUGAGAUAACAAUGGUGGAAUGAAUUUGAAGCUGUAAUUUUUUUGGGAUGUGCAUGGAAAAGCCCUGUCCCUGGUGCUGUGUUCUGUUCCACUUCAGCAUAGCUAGUGUCAAACUGCCGGUGAAUAUGUAGCAAACUUUUACAGCAGCCAAAGAAAACAUCUGGUUUUAGGCAGGCUCUGGCUUUCUUUCUUAAAGCAAGAGAGCUGCAUAGAUCAGUACCUUGCCUUGUCUAAUUCCAUUAAUGUGAUCUCUUGUCCAUCCCGUGGCAGUUUAAUGGGCGUUAUUUGUGGUCCUCCAUCAAAUAAAGCCAUAGCCAUAAAUCCCACGUCACGUAAAUGAAGGUAUAAACGUCAAUCUGCAUUACCGAAUAAUAUUUAUGAUUUUAAUUAAAUGAAACUCACUGUGACAUUUAUUAGAUCACAAGUUACAUGUUAAUGGCAACAAAAUGACUUGGGCUGAUAUGAGUAUCUCUUAGAAAUGCUCUUAAUAAUGAAUGUGUUGUGGGUGGGUGGAGGGCCAGUUCAAAAUAACACAAUAAUAUCGGGUGUGUUUGAUGCAAGAAGAACAUUGAAUCUAACCUUGGUUGGUGGUUCAUCUACCUAAAAUGCAUUGUAAUGAAUGGGGCCUGCAUAACAGCAUCUUGCUAGCCAUGGAACCAACAACAUUCAGUCAAGAUGCUGAAGGCUUGUCUGUUUCCUUGGUUUCAGGAAGGGUCUGCAGUGGAACUUGGAGCUCUAAGGCAUCGCUGGGGAACCUUUUUUGGUCCCUUCCAGGCAACCCUCCAGGGGUGACAGUCAGAGGUAAAAGCGGGUAGAGCAACAAAUGUAAAUUUUACCUUUGGUGCAGUAAGUUAGUCUCUCUGUGCAGUCAUACGCUCAUCUCUACCCUCUGUCUAGAAAAGCAAAAUACAUUAUCAGCCUUCAAGGAUGCAUUAAGGGGUGUGGCCUGCAGUGGGGAAAUGACCUAGGGAGAGUCCUGAGGGCUAGAUAGAGGGACCUGGAGGCUGCAUUUGUCCCUCAGGCCCAAGGUUCUCUACCCUGCAUCAAAACAGCUGUUGCUUCAGCAGUGAAGUGCCUCCUGUUGAGAACUUAAAUGGGAGCUGCAGGCUCCAUCCCUUCCUGGCUCUCAGGCAGGCCUUGAUCCAGGCAAGGUGCUUGUACACAGUUACACCACCUCCCAAGUAGCUUCAUGUGCAGCUAUUAUUUCAUUAUAUUUAUUAGUUGCCUUUCUCACAAAAAUGGCCUAAAGUGACUUAACGUUAAAAAUACAAGGGGAAAAUACUGGAAACCUGUUGCCACCUUGUAAGCUAAGGAAGGUAAGCAGCACUCCUUUCCUGUGAAUGUUUAAUGCAUUUCUGCACCCCACUUGUUUCCUGUAGGGUUUCAUUUCAUAACUGCAGUUGCUACCCAAUGGUAUGUAUUUGACACAGCUCUAAUUUUAAUUGACUUGUUUUUAAUUUUCCAUUCUUUGAUAUGGGGCAAUGAAUCCAGUCAUUUCAGCUGCUCUCAUUUUAUUUGCAACCCUGAUAUUGAAACUACUGGGCAGAUUUUUAAUGGCUGAAAUCCUUGUCUUGGCAAAAUGUACAGUGUUUUAAUGAGUUUAGGAGGGGCAGUUUGGCAGAACGGCCAUUACUUAGGUUUCAAAGAAUAAGAUUUUUAUCAAAAUCUCGAAUUUCUCUAAGCUAUUCCCUGAAGUUCAGAAUACUUCCAUGGAGUCAAGGAAAGUUCAAGAACGUGCCUCUCACUACUGUGGUUACAAAAGAAAUAUAACAGCAUGUGGAAAAAAGAUCCAUGCAUUCAUUUAGGAACCAGCACACCUGAGUGGAAUUGUCUAGGUUUUUGUUAACAAAGCACACUGACCUUGUUUCUGUUGCCUCUUGAAUUGGUGGCAAACAUUGCACGAGCAUCUGCUGGGACCUAGUGUAGCACAUAAAAGACGUCCAGACUUUUUUUGUUCCUGGAGAAUUUCACUCUGUUACUUGUUCGAUAAGGCUUAGGGGAUACUCUCUACAGUAUUAUUUGAAAACCUAUGCAAUACAAAGACGUCUUUUUUGCUUUCCAGCUCUGUUGAAGAUGUCAAAGUACCUUUUUAAAAAAAUGUGUAUAUAUCAGAAAUUUGGUAAAUGUUAACAUUUACUGGUUAUUCACAAAAUUUAGGCACAGCAGAACUUAUCAGAAGUCUUUGUGCCAUAAAUAAUGUGCUUUUUGACAUUUAUACCAUGGGAAAUGUUCUUUGCUAGGAAAUGGAAAUGGAAAUGACUUUGGGAUGAUAUUUACUGGAGCAAUCAGCUGCCUCAGAAAUUACUGGUAUUUACCAGUAACUGUCAGAAAAUUUUAACAGGCUUUCUCUCCCUACCUUUAAACUUCUUCUUGCAUAUGCAAUAUAAAUAAUACAGUCAAACAUUAAGUAAGUUUGUAAGUAGUUUAGAACUGAUUGCCCCAGUUAGAUGUUUUCUAAUCUGUCUCAUAACAGAUUGUCCCAGAGUAAGCUGUGAGUAGCUGAUGGUAAGGGAACAACAUUGUUCUUUCCAGUGUACUGAAUAAACAUGUACCAUAAAGUUUCAAAACUGUCUUUGGUCUUUGUUUUCCUGAGCCUAUUCAAAUUCUAAGACGUACAAGUGUCAAUAUUGUACAAGUUUCUCACAUUUUAUGUAACUAGCACACACACAUACGUGCACACACACACAUACCCGCUGCCAAAUCUCGAGCCAAAAAAGAAUACAGCCCAAGCUGCUGCCAGCCCAAGCCAGGGAAAGAGGUGCACCCGAGCUCGAAAAACCCAGACGUUUCCUUUAAAAUGUAAGAAUCCUCCUGGAUGGCCAUGUUGGCCCCGCAAAAGAGGACAUAUCUGGGUUUUCCCAAACAUAUGGCAACAAACCAGCCAACAUACAUACACACAUUCAUAGAGAGGUAUUUGCUCUUCUUAAAAUAAAAUAAAUAACUCUAUACAAUGUGUUGUCAAUUUUGCUGCUAGAGAUGUCCACACCCAGUCCCGGUAACAUGAUGAGGAAUGACGGAUGAGAUCCAGACAGCCAAAUGAGGCAGGCCACCUGAGAGAUGCUUUGCUUGUAACAGAAAGAAUGGAAGUGGUAUGUGCACUCAACAUUUAGAAAAAUGGUACCUAAGUCAUUCUCCAUUUAUUGUCGCUUGUUUAUAAUGUACAAAAAAACCUCCAAGAUCGUUAAGGCAUUCAAUUCCAGACUGGCUAUUUUCUGAAAGAGAUCAUGUACAGUGGUGCCCCGCAAGACGAAUGCCUCGCAAGACGGAAAAACCACUAGACGAAAGGGUUUUCCGUUUUGAAGUUGCUUCGCAGGACGAAUUCCCCUAUGGGCUUGCUUCGCAAGACGAAAAUAUCUUGCGAGUCUUUAGAUGUUUUUCGCUUUCCCCCUUUAUCUAAUCUGCUAAGCCUUUAAUAGCCUUUAAUAGCCUUUUAGCAGCUAAUCCCCUAAGCCUUUAAGCCUUUAAUAGCCGCUAAACCGCUAAUAGCGCUAAUAGCGCUAAUCCGUCAAUGGGCUUGCUUCGCAAGACGAAAAAACCGCUAGACGAAGACUCUCGCGGAAUGGAUUAAUUUCGUCUUGCGAGGCACCACUGUAGUUCCAUAAAGGGAGUGGAAUAUACAAUGAAUUGUCCAUUCCCUAGCCAGAAUCUACACCUAGCAACCCUAUUUAGAUGGAAGUCACUCAUGCAAAUAUGCAAUAAUUAUUUUUGUCAGACUGGGCUGCUUAAGAUCUCAUUAAGAACUGAGCUCCAUAGGCAAAGCCUGUGGGGAUUUCAAAAAAGACUGCUUCUCACUUUCCGUCUUCUGGUUUGCCUUUGUCCAUGGCUGGAAGCUUCCUGGAUCAGUGCAAAGCAAAGGAAUGCCUUUGGAUGGGAAGUCUGUGUUUGAAUUCAGCAUGCCUGAGUGGCCAGGGGUUCAGCAAGGCUAUCAUGUGUAUUUGGCUUAUUAAAAACCUACAGAUCUCAACUGAGCCCAAAAAUUCAAGUGUGCAAUGUGGAAUUGCUGUAAGGGAGCGUUUAAAUGGCCAAAUCAGCCUCAUUCAGAUAAAUGGGGUUUUGUGGUCAUGACCUUUUUAUAGUGACAACCUGACACUAAUUUUGAAGGAUCAUAUAUUUAUGUCAGCUGUCGUUGGAGGGCAUGCAGUGUGACUGCAAGUAGGUCUGCACGUUCCAAGACUAUACUUUGAGUUUUAACAUGCUGUUACAAAUGUUAGAGGAGGCUCCCCCUCUUAAAUUUUAUAUAUAUAUAUAUAUAUAUAUAUAUAUAUAUAUUCACCAGCUUGACAGUUUUUCAAACAUAUUCACUGUCAGCCCUAACAACCUGUCAACAACUGCCGUUAUGUGAAAAUUGCAGAAGCUGGUUUGAGCACUGUGAAAAGUGACAUCCAUGCCACAAGGAUAAAGUUCCUCAGAAAUGGAAGGCGAAAACUUUUGAAAGGUGCUGUAGCCCUUCCAAGUCAAAAUGAACAGUCAGAUAUCUGGGGAAAAACAUACAGUUGUCACAUCUGAUAUCUAUUUCCCCCUUCCCCUCCCUCAAAUUGAGGUGUAUGGAAAAGAACAUAGAUUAGGACAGAAUAUUGUGGGUAACUGUUUUGCUGCUCCUGAUUUGCAAUCUCCUCUCUCUCUCUCUCUCUCUCUCUCUCUCUCUCUCUCUCUCUCUCCUUCCUUCUCAGCAGGCUUCUUGGGUGUUCCUUCAAUUAAAGCCCAG